rnacentral:lncRNA from 1 species
UGUUGGAAUGUAGCUUAACGAUUCCGCUCUUGUACUCCUGAGGAAGCCAAUAACCAUUGGCGAAAUAUAGAGUUUUCGAGAAAAUAGAAUCGUUUUAAUUUUUGACCGCAAAACCUGA